GCUCCCGUAGUUUAAUGGAUAAAACUACGGACUUCUAAGCCGUUGAUGUAGGUUCGAUUCCUACCGGGAGCA
rnacentral:tRNA from 1 species